AUGGCUAUCGUUUGAAUGCGCGCGCUCCCAUACUGAGCAGUUUGAUGGCUGAAGUGCGUUCCAUUGUAAAAUACAAUGAGCAAUGGACACUUACCACUCACAACUACCUUUGAUUCGUAACGAAAGUGGAACUCAAGUGAUUGCAAAUUCACAAUUAAAAGGGAGAGAAGAAGAAGCGAAAACUUUAAAUAUCGCGACCUCAUUUCCGAUUUUCUUCGUGGAGCAAACAUCAUCCCAGAUGAAACUUGAACAACCUUUGGGGCCUUCAGGUUAAGUUCUCCUUCAAGUCAAGGAGCAACAUUGUGAUGAACUCAUCAUCUCAGCUGGAAAUCACAGCCUGCUUCAUCUCUAUGCCGACUCGCAUCCCAUUCAUGCUGUAUAACAUCAUCAACAUGUUAUUCUUCACCCUCAUCAUCGCCGUCCUGUACGCCGCUUGUCGUCAGACCGCUUCGUUCACUCAUUUUGACAUCUUCGCUUUGCACAUGGUCGCCAUGGAGAUCAUCGGAGUCGUGUCCAGCGUCGUGCGAAUGUACGGCACCUUAACGGAGCAUUUAAUCAGCAUUUAUAUCGGCCUUGUUCUCGUUAUCUUUGUGUGGUACGGUCAGGUGUUACUUCACAUGCUGACCUGUGUGGAUCGCUAUUUGGCUGUAGUCCAUCCCGUCACCUACAUCAAACUGAAGCAGAAGCAGGGUGUACGACUCCGAAACAUCGCCAUAGCAGGCGUUUGGCUGAUUUGCACAUUUCACGUAACUUUAAGUAAGAACAGCAUGUAUCCGAUCGUUGCAAACAUCGGCACUAUAUUCCUCGUCUUAUGUGUCGUAAGCUUCUGCAGCGUUUCAGUUCUCUGUGGUUUGAUUCGUCCGAAGCCGGGGUCAAAACACACAAACACGGUCAUCCAGAGUAAACGAAGGACGUUCCACACUAUUGUAGCCAUCCUGACAGUGCAGAUUGUGCGUUUCAUUUGGAGCCUGACGGGGAGUGUGGUUUUGUUUUUUUUUAACCACUGGAAAAUCCAUUACUGCUUGUUAGUACUGAUGGAAGCCAUCAUGGCCCUGCCCAGCUCUUUGGUGUUGCCCCUCCUUUUCCUACACAAGACAUGGCCGCCGAUGUGCUGUCACACUUAAUGCACACGUAAUGUGACAUCAUUGACCUGAAAUUCUUUUUCUGUAAUUAUUUUAAGGACAUUCACUUGAUCAAAACUGCAAUUGUUUUGUAGCAUGCUAACGUGCUAACUCCAUUACCUCACUAACCACA